rnacentral:rRNA from 1 species
AGUUGUGAAGGUGCUGCAUGGUUGUCGUCAGCUCGUGCCGUGAGGUGUCGGCUUAAGUGCCAUAACGAGCGCAACCCUUAUCGAUAGUUACCAUCAGGUUAUGCUGGGGACUCUGUCGAGACUGCCGUCGUAAGAUGUGAGGAAGGUGGGGAUGACGUCAAAUCAGCACGGCCCUUACGUCCGGGGCUACACACGUGUUACAAUGGGGGGUACAGAAGGCAGCUACACGGCGACGUGAUGCUAAUCCCGAAAGCCUCUCUCAGUUCGGAUUGGAGUCUGCAACCCGACUCCAUGAAGCUGGAUUCGCUAGUAAUCGCGCAUCAGCCACGGCGCGGUGAAUACGUUCCCGGGCCUUGUACACACCGCCCGUCAAGCCAUGAAAGCCGGGGGUACCUGAAGUGCGUAACCGCAAGGAGCGCCCUAGGGUAAAACUGGUGAUUGGGGCUAAGUCGUAACAAGGUAGCCGUACCGGAAGGUGCGGCUGGAUCACCUC